AAAUCAUGCCGGGAGGGCAUCUGCUGAUCUACUGCUUGUAUCUCUCCCAAGCCUCAUAGAGGGACUCUCCCUCUUUCUGUCUGAAGGUUUGGACUUCUCAAUCU